rnacentral:rRNA from 1 species
GACGAACGCUGGCGGCGUGCCUAACACAUGCAAGUCGAGCGGAGUUAUGGAGCAGCUUGCUGCGAAGUGACUUAGCGGCGGACGGGUGAGUAACGCGUGAGCAAUCUGCCUCAUACAGGGGGAUAACAGUCGGAAACGACUGCUAAUACCGCAUAAGACCACAGCAUCGCAUGGUGCAGGGGUCAAAGGAGUAACAUCCGGUAUGAGAUGAGCUCGCGUCCCAUUAGCUAGUUGGUGAGGUAACGGCCCACCAAGGCGACGAUGGGUAGCCGACCUGAGAGGGUGACCGGCCACACUGGGACUGAGACACGGCCCAGACUCCUACGGGAGGCAGCAGUGGGGAAUAUUGCGCAAUGGGGGGAACCCUGACGCAGCAACGCCGCGUGAGUGAAGAAGGUCUUCGGAUCGUAAAACUCUGUCAUAGGGGAAGAAGGAAGUGACGGUACCCUAUGAGGAAGCCCCGGCUAACUACGUG